UUUUUUGAUAAAGAAAUGUCGAAGAAAUCAAAGCCAACUUAUGAAUUAUCGAAUUGAUUUUUUCAACAAACUAUAAAGGUUUUUUCAGGUCCAUUAGUAGUUAAGUUUUUCUUAGUUAGGAUUUGAUUUAUUUGGAAUGCAACCUUAAUUAUACAUGCAUUUUUUUUUUAAUAUUUUUAUAUAUCUCCUUUUAAUUAUAUGAUUUUAUUUUUUCAUUUCUCUAGUGUUACUAUAUUUGGAUUCAUUGCCAAAUGAAUUAGUGCUUUUAACUAUUAACAGAUGAACUCUUCAGGGGCUGUUGAAUGCAACGAAAUAAAUAAUGCCAAAGAUACAAAUGAUUUUGGCGGUUAGCAUCUUGAUGCAAAAUGCCCAAAUAGUGCACACAGUUAUUUAUCACAGUUAAUUAUUGGUUAAUAAAAAACGUUGGAAUUUCACCCGAUUCAAUUUAUUUGAUGAUUCAACUGGUUCAGAAUAAUUUAUUUAAAAGAAAUAUAUAAUUUUAUUUUA